rnacentral:rRNA from 2 species
UCAACCUGAGAGUUUGAUUCUGGCUCAGAACGAACGCUGGCGGCAGGCUUAACACAUGCAAGUCGAACGACAUAGUGGCAGACGGGUGAGUAACACGUGGAAACGUACCUUUCACUACGGAAUAGCUCUUGGAAACGAGUGGUAAUACCGUAUACGCCCUUCGGGGGAAAGAUUUAUCGGUGAAAGAUCGGUCCGCGUUAGAUUAGCUAGUUGGUGAGGUAAGAGCUCACCAAGGCGACGAUCUAUAGCUGGUCUGAGAGGAUGAUCAGCCACACUGGGACUGAGACACGGCCCAGACUCCUACGGGAGGCAGCAGUGGGGAAUAUUGCACAAUGGGCGCAAGCCUGAUGCAGCCAUGCCGCGUG